AGAACGAACGCUGGCGGCAGGCCUCAAACAUGCAAGUCUAGGGGGUGUAGCAAUACAUCACCGGCGGACGGGUGCGUAACACGUGGGAAUAUACCUUUUGGUUCGGAACAACGCAGGGAAACUUGCGCUAAUACCGAAUGUGCCCUUACGGGGAAAGAUUUAUCGCCAAAGGAUUAGCCCGCGUAGGAUUAGCUAGUUGGUGAGGUAAUGGCUCACCAAGGCUCCGAUCCUUAGCUGCUCUGAGAGGAAGAUCAGCCACACUGGGACUGAGACACGGCCCAGACUCCUACGGGAGGCAGCAGUUGGGAAUCUUGGACAAUGGGGAACCCUGAUCCAGCCAUGCCGCGUGAGUGAUGAAGGCCUUCGGGUUGUAAAACUCUUUCGGACGGGACGAUAAUGACGGUACCCGUAGAAGAAGCUCCGGCUAACUUCGCGCCAGCAGCCGC
rnacentral:rRNA from 1 species